rnacentral:rRNA from 1 species
GUAGAGCACUGAAUUUCCUAGGGGGCGUCAAAGCCUACCGAAGAAUAUCAAACUGCGAAUGGCGGACAGAUGAUGCCAGGGAGUCAGACUGCACGAGAUAAGUUGGGUGGUCAAAAGGGAAAGAGCCCAGACCUACAGCUAAGGUCCCAAAGUGUGUGUUAAGUGGAAAAGGAUGUGGGAUUUCGAAGACAACUAGGAUGUUGGCUCAGAAGCAGCCACACAUUAAAAGAGUGCGUAAUAGCUCACUAGUCGAGAGGUCCUGCGCCGAAAAUGUCCGGGGCUAAAACACAACACCGAAGCUUAGGAAUUCUUUUGAAUUGGUAGAGGAGCAUUGAAGACGGAACGAAGCCAUACCGAAAGGAAUGGUGGACUGUCUUGAAGAGAGAAUGCCGGAAUGAGUAGCGAGAUUGAAGUGAGAAUCUUCAAGGCCGAAUAUCUAAGGUUUCCAGGGUAAAGCUGAUCUGCCCUGGGUAAGUCGGGGCCUAAGGCAAGGUCGAAAGACGUAGUCGAUGGAUAACAGGUUGAAAUUCCUGUACUGCAUCAAAUCAGAAAUGUGGGGACACAUGAGGGAAGCAUGAGCCGGAAAAGGAAAGUCCGGUACAAGCGCAGCAGAGGACAGAUAGGCAAAUCCGUCUGUCAACUCAAGGGCGCGAUGUGGAGCGAACCAAAGUAGCGAAGCAUGUGGAGCUUGUGUCGAGAAAAGCCGCUAUAGUGUUUGAUGUACCCGUACCGUAAACCGACACAGGUGGAUGAGGAGAGAAUCCUAAGGCCGGCGGGAGAAGCAUUGUUAAGGAACUCGGCAAAAUGACCCCGUAACUUCGGGAGAAGGGGUGCUCCAGAGAUGGAGCCGCAGAGAACUGGCCCAAGCAACUGUUUAGCAAAAACACAGGUCUAUGCAAAACCGAAAGGUGAGGUAUAUGGGCUGACGCCUGCCCGGUGCUGGAAGGUUAAGAGGAGAUGUUAGCCGCAAGGUGAAGCAUUGAAUUUAAGCCCCAGUAAACGGCGGCCGUAACUAUAACGGUCCUAAGGUAGCGAAAUUCCUUGUCGGGUAAGUUCCGACCCGCACGAAAGGCGUAAUGAUUUGGGCACUGUCUCGACAAUGCACCCGGUGAAAUUGAAAUACCAGUGAAGAUGCUGGUUACCUGCGCCAGGACGGAAAGACCCCAUGGAGCUUUACUCUAGCUUGAUACUGGGGUUCGGUAUUGCAUGUACAGGAUAGGUGGGAGACUGAGAAGAUGUGUCGCCAGAUGCAUCAGAGUCGAUGUUGGGAUACCACCCCUGCAGUACUGGGCUUCUAACCUGCAGCCGUGACCCGGCUGGGGGACAAUGUCUGGUGGGGAGUUUGACUGGGGCGGUCGCCUCCGAAAGAGUAUCGGAGGCGCUCAAAGGUUCCCUCAGAAUGGUUGGAAACCAUUCGAAGAGCGCAAAGGCAGAAGGGAGCUUGACUGCGACACCGACGGGUGGAGCAGGUACGAAAGUAGGACUUAGUGAUCCGGUGGUAUGAAAGUGGGAUUGCCAUCGCUCAACGGAUAAAAGCUACCCUGGGGAUAACAGGCUUAUCACUCCCAAGAGUUCACAUCGACGGAGUGGUUUGGCACCUCGAUGUCGGCUCAUCGCAUCCUGGGGCUGUAGUAGGUCCCAAGGGUUGGGCUGUUCGCCCAUUAAAGCGGUACGCGAGCUGGGUUCAGAACGUCGUGAGACAGUUCGGUCCCUAUCCGGCGUGGGCGUAGGAUAUCUGAGAGGAGCUGUCCUUAGUACGAGAGGACCGGGAUGGACUGACCUCUGGUGCACCGGUUGCAUUGCCAAAUGCAUAGCCGGGUAGCCAAGUCGGGACGGGAUAAACGCUGAAGGCAUCUAAGCGUGAAGCCCCCCUCAAGAUGAGAUAUCCCAUAACAUAAGUUAGUAAGACCCCUUGA